rnacentral:rRNA from 1 species
AUGACGGCUGCCCUCGGCCACCAUGAUGAACAUGACCUAGAUCUGUCAUCUGGCCGCACACAGGAGCUAGCACCUGUGACUGCCCUGGCCCUAGAGCCGGAGCGGACUGCGUCGUCUAUAGACGGGAAGCCCAACCCCGCUGCGGAGGACGCAGACUCAGCGGUGCUCAAGCUGCACACAGACCCAACAUCGAGUUGGCCUUGUGUUUCCGGAACCUCGGACUCAUCUCUGGCCAUGGACUCCGGACCGCGUGCAUUCGCGUCCAUCGAACCUGAUUGGGCGCCGAUCUUAGAGUUCAGCUCCGCGGAUAUUUUCCAGCACUCGCCUUUUGGCGACGUGUUAAGCUCAUUAAGAUCCCUCUCCUUGUCAGGGGACUCACGGCCAAACUAUGUUCGGCUCGAAUGGGGAGCGGAUGACGAAGAACUUCGUUUCCCACCCACCACCCACUUUGUAGCCACAGUCAAUGACUUAACCGACAUGCUCGAUUACGACUCCGAAGACAUCGACGGUAUGGGCGACGAUGCCGGAGAAGAGCAAGAACCACUGCCUACAGGGCGUUGGACAGCCACCUCCUCGUACGACAUAUACAUGGUGGAUACACCCAAAGAAAAUAACGGCGAUGAGGAAAAUCCAGUCGAGGAUAAACCUCCUAAGAUACAGCCGAAGCACCGACGUCAGCGGCGCCGCUCUAAGCCACGCCGUAGUAAAAACAGAAAUACCGUCACAGAAGAGGAUAACACUCCGGACAGUGCCGAAAACAAUGAAGACCCCGUUGAGCCGACCUCCGAACAGGAGGAAUGGGAGGACGGGCAAGCCGGCCCUGGCGAACAGGCCAUGAACGAAGACUUGGAGGAUAGCAACUACCUUCCACUCUCCGAGGAUGAGGUUAGCCUCGGUGACGAAGAUUUCAUCGUGCUUGAAGAGCCUGCCGGGCAAGAACGCUUUAAGCGUAAGCUAAUUGCCACUGCAAGAAGCCUGAAAAAGAAGCAGUAG